GUGGGGAAUAUUGGACAAUGGGCGAAAGCCUGAUCCAGCCAUGCCGCGUGUGUGAAGAAGGUCUUCGGAUUGUAAAGCACUUUAAGUUGGGAGGAAGGGCAGUAAGUUAAUUCCUUGCUGUUUUGACGUUACCGACAGAAUAAGCACCGGCUAACUUCGUGCCAGCAGCCGCGGUAAUACGAAGGGUGCAAGCGUUAAUCGGAAUUACUGGGCGUAAAGCGCGCGUAGGUGGUUUUGUAAGUUGGAGGUGAAAUCCCCGGGCUCAACCUGGGAACUGCCUCCAAAACUGCAUGACUAGAGUACGGUAGAGGGUAGUGGAAUUUCCUGUGUAGCGGUGAAAUGCGUAGAUAUAGGAAGGAACACCAGUGGCGAAGGCGACUACCUGGACUGAUACUGACACUGAGGUGCGAAAGCGUGGGGAGCAAACAGGAUUAGAUACCCGAGUAGUCC
rnacentral:rRNA from 1 species